UACGGAGGGGGCUAGCGUUGUUCGGAAUUACUGGGCGUAAAGCGCACGUAGGCGGCUUUGUAAGUUAGAGGUGAAAGCCCGGGGCUCAACUCCGGAAUUGCCUUUAAGACUGCAUCGCUAGAAUUGUGGAGAGGUAAGUGGAAUUCCGAGUGUAGAGGUGAAAUUCGUAGAUAUUCGGAAGAACACCAGUGGCGAAGGCGGCUCACUGGCUCGGUAACUGACGCUCAGGCGCGACAGCGUGGGGAUCAAACAGG
rnacentral:rRNA from 1 species